rnacentral:rRNA from 1 species
GUGCUUGCACCUCUUGAGAGCGGCGGACGGGUGAGUAAUGCCUAGGAAUCUGCCUGGUAGUGGGGGAUAACGCUCGGAAACGGACGCUAAUACCGCAUACGUCCUACGGGAGAAAGCAGGGGACCUUCGGGCCUUGCGCUAUCAGAUGAGCCUAGGUCGGAUUAGCUAGUUGGUGAGGUAAUGGCUCACCAAGGCGACGAUCCGUAACUGGUCUGAGAGGAUGAUCAGUCACACUGGAACUGAGACACGGUCCAGACUCCUACGGGAGGCAGCAGUGGGGAAUAUUGGACAAUGGGCGAAAGCCUGAUCCAGCCAUGCCGCGUGUGUGAAGAAGGUCUUCGGAUUGUAAAGCACUUUAAGUUGGGAGGAAGGGUUGUAGAUUAAUACUCUGCAAUUUUGACGUUACCGACAGAAUAAGCACCGGCUAACUCUGUGCCAGCAGCCGCGGUAAUACAGAGGGUGCAAGCGUUAAUCGGAAUUACUGGGCGUAAAGCGCGCGUAGGUGGUUCGUUAAGUUGGAUGUGAAAUCCCCGGGCUCAACCUGGGAACUGCAUUCAAAACUGUCGAGCUAGAGUAUGGUAGAGGGUGGUGGAAUUUCCUGUGUAGCGGUGAAAUGCGUAGAUAUAGGAAGGAACACCAGUGGCGAAGGCGACCACCUGGACUGAUACUGACACUGAGGUGCGAAAAGCGUGGGGAAGCAAACAGGAUUAGAUACCCUGGUAUUCCACGCCGUAAACGAUGUCAACUAGCCGUUGGGAGCCUUGAGCUCUUAUGGCGCA